GAAGGGAGAAGGAGGAGGAAAGGGGAAGGUGAUGGAGAUCUUGAGAAACACUUACAGUUACUCAAAGAAUUUCAUUUUACCAUAAAAAUGAGUGGCAUGGGAAAAAUUGAACCGAGAGGAUUUGCUGCAUUGCAUCUUCCAAGGUAAGUUUUUUAAUUUGUUAAGCUUUCUUGUUUUUCAUGAAUGUGUAAUGAUUAACUUUUGACUCCCUUAAAACGUUUGCCAACCUCAGAUAUGAUUCACCCAAGGAAAAACACAUUGACUGCAGUGAUAUUCUGGUAUACAUCAAGUUCCAUAUCAUUUAUACAAGUCAUACAUUUUGAAGUAAAUUUCAUGUUAAGCUACAAAUCGAUCAAAUAUAUACAUACAUCUGAUCUAUCUACAUAAUAUCAGUAUGAAAAUAUUGAUUUAUAUAGGGUUGUGAAAUUCACACACCCUUUUUCCUUUUUUGGUAACUUAGAUUUUAUCUUUUAGUGACUUAAACUUUGUCUUUUUAUAAAUGUGUUAAUUAAAAAAAAAUGGUGUGUUGAUUUUAAUUUGGGGUGUGUGAAUUUCACAUCCCUUUAAAGGGAUAAGGUUCUCAAGUGAUUUAGUGUCAAAUGACUAAGUUAUGACUAUUAUGUUUCAUUGCAGCCCUACAAAAGCAGCCUCGGGUUCUUCCUCUAUAAACGCAUGCAAGUUUUCUUGUUAAAAAAAAAACGCUUACAAGUUUUCAAGGUGUCAGACAUGUAACCGCCGAGUAAUGCACCCAUGCUUAAAACUCAUCUUUAACUUAAUGUAGCUCAUCACUCAUGUAAUACAUAGAUUAAUGUAAGACUCAUGCAGUACAUAGAUUUGGUCUACCAUUGGAAAGAUUUAUGGAUGUAUGGUUUGAUGCCAUCUUUCUUGCAGAACCUUGACACUGAAAAAAAUUGUUCUCCCACCACGAAAUCUUCUAACACUGGCUGGAUUUGAAGAGUCUAUAAAGAACUGGGCACAACUAGAGUCAAUGACUAUGCCACUUGCUUUCUUUGAGUUUGAAACGGUGAAGUUUGAUCGGAGCUCACUGUAAGAAUUUCUCUAAGCUCAAAGUUUUUGGCCCCUUAAUGGUGCACUUUGCAAAGGCCAUUGCUGCCAAUAUCCCGAACUUAAAGGUUCAAGUCUCCAGGGCAGCUUGGUGGAGAAGGAAGCCUUGGUUUACAAUACUUUACCUACUAAACAACAUGAAAAAAUUUGGAAGUGUUGAACUUGUGUCACUGCCGCAUCGUGGAUGAAGGUGUUCCAGGACCAGGCUAUAUAUAUGCGUAUGCAGCACAUGAACUUAAUUGUCAUGUCUAUCAUGGAAAGGGCCUCGGGGAUGAAGAACUUUCUAGUUUGUAACUCAAGGUUGUUCAACAUUGGAAUAUGGCGAAGGGACAUGGUGAUGAGUACGCUUGCAGCAUAUUGAUAUGGAGAAGAACCAUCUGCUGGGGAAUCAUUCUUGUAUGUCGAAUUGAACAUUGUUAGUAUGAGAAAUUUCACAGCUGCGCUUGUGGAAUGGUUUAAAUUUCCGGCACUACUACAAUAUUGAGCAAAGGUGUGGUCUUUAGAGAUGUUGCAUUUCUCCGUAAGGAUAACAAUUGAGGGUAUUAGUGGGUAUUGGUGGAGUGUUAGGGGAAAAUGCCACACAUAUGGGAAUUGCAAUACUCCUAAUGGCCACACUAGGUGUGUGGUCUUUACUCAAUAAUGUAAGUAGGUGUGUGGUCUUUGCUCAAUAAUGUAGUAGUGCGGUUCAUGCUACUUAAUUAGUUUUUGAUGGUUCAGUUAAGAACUUCUUCUAUGAAGCCUUUGUUUAUUGUAUUAAGAACUUCUAUGAAGCCUUUAAUUAUGUAGGUCAUUAAUCGAGUUGAAAUGAAUUAGCAAGUCCAUUAGCUGUUGUGUUAAGAACGUCUAUGUUUUUAUUCUAACUUUUACUACUAUCAACUUCUAAGUUUCCUUUCUUUUUGUCAUCAAUCAGAAUUCUACGUUUUCGUUCCUUGGAAUAUAUGCAAGUGCAUAUAACUUUGCUCCUUGAGGUUACAGGGCAUUGAUUAUUAAGUUUUUGUUCCUUGGAAUAUAUGCAAGUGCAUAUAACUUUGCUCCUUGAGGUUACAGGGCAUUGAUUAUUAGCUGGGAAGAUGUAUAUAUUGGCAAGAUUACUUUGAACAAGUAUAUUGGUUUCUAUUCUUAAGCCGGGUGCUGGGGAAUAGGUUUACUUAACUUCUCCAUAUAUUUUAUAAAGGUUUCCAAUUGAGAGUUUAUGUUUGUUUCUUUUUAGUCUCAUCGAUCAAUG
rnacentral:lncRNA from 1 species